rnacentral:rRNA from 1 species
GAUGAACGCUGGCGGCGUGCCUAAUACAUGCAAGUCGAGCGAACGGACGAGAAGCUUGCUUCUCUGAUGUUAGCGGCGGACGGGUGAGUAACACGUGGCUAACCUACCUAUAAGACUGGGAUAACUUCGGGAAACCGGAGCUAAUACCGGAUGAUAUUUUGAACCGCAUGGUUCAAAAGUGAAAGACGGUCUUGCUGUCACUUAUAGAUGGAUCCGCGCUGCAUUAGCUAGUUGGUAAGGUAACGGCUUACCAAGGCAACGAUGCAUAGCCGACCUGAGAGGGUGAUCGGCCACACUGGAACUGAGACACGGUCCAGACUCCUACGGGAGGCAGCAGUAGGGAAUCUUCCACAAUGGGCGAAAGCCUGACGGAGCAACGCCGCGUGAGUGAAGAAGGUCUUCGGAUCGUAAAACUCUGUUAUUAGGGAAGAACAUAUGUGUAAGUAACUGUGCACAUCUUGACGGUACCUAAUCAGAAAGCCACGGCUAACUACGUG